UUAUGGUUGUGUCCAACUCCUUCCUGCUGAUCUCCACUCCUGCCCAGUCCUCGAUGGUAUGUCCCAGGACUAGAUUGAAGAGGCCUAGGGGCCUAACAGACACAAACAUGGGGCAGCUGGUCAAGAACUGGGAGAAGGUAACAUCAAAAUGCCCAAGAUUGAAAAAACUGUGCUCCAGAAUGAUCCCAAUGAAGGAGAGAGUGGAGCCCAUAAAUCCAAGACACCAGGGCAGAGCCAGGAAAACAUAGCUUCUGUUCAGAUGACCACUCUCCUGGUAGGUCUUGAAUUCUGUCAUCACUUCCUUGGUUAAUUCUUGAUCACAGUAGGUUAAAGGAAUAGAUAGCCUGUGGCUUAAGUCCCUUAAAGGCUCUUGCAACCUUACGUUUUUCACUGCUCAUCCUUCUGCAACUCUUCUUUUAGAUUAUUCUUUUCCUUGUUUUGUUUUUCCCUCCAAUCUUUACAUAUUGGACCUACGCCUCUGAUUGGCAAAUGAAAUUAAAAGACUUUAACUCUAGAGAAAGAGGCCAAGAAAGCAUAAUGACUUGUGUUUGAGAAGACUUGAGUAUCAAAUUUAGUACAAAACAUGGGAAAUAGGUUGCAUUCUUAUAUUUUGAUUUGUAGAUUGUAAAUAGCUUUAGGAUGGAUUUGAAAGAAUUCAAAUGAUGUAGUGCUGGAAUUGUGUUCUGUCCUUUCCCAGGAGCACUUUGUUGACAUAAGAAUUAUCACUGCUCUAGGGUAAAUUUUUUAGAUCUGUAAUAACAGUGCUUUUCUAUAUACAUAGAGGCAUGAGAUCUCUUCCACACCUUAUGGUAAGCAUUUAUUUGAGGUUUUUGUUUGACUAGUCCAACCUCAUAGGAAAUCGCAAUACUCUUGUGAUAAUCUCCAGUGAAUUUAACCAAACAUAAAUCUGAAGAUCUGUCCAAAUAUAAUGCUUUGAUCUAAACUCUUGAAGACAGAAAUGGGAAAAAAAUAGUUGGAAGCCACAAUAUUAUUUAGUUGAAUCAUGUAUGUUUCUCUAGCUGCCAUUUAGGGUCACUGCUAGUAAAUAGAAUGGCACGUUUAGUAGUGCCACAGUGUCUCAAAUAAAUGGCUUAAUGAAUUGAUUAGAUGGUACAUUUUAACAUAUGUAGCUUUUUAGUUAGGAUGGAAAGGAGAUGUGGAUUGAUAGUACUAACUUUUGUAGAAAGGUUUUUUUUAGUGAGAAGUAAAUGUACAUAAGUUGAUCAUCUCCUCGGGGAAAGUUUUAGGAUUCUUGUAUGUGAGUCGUUAUAUUUUGGUUAUAAAUAGUUCUCUCUGAAUAAGUUAUUGAACAAUAUUGAAUGUGAGAAAAUGGUUUUAUUGCAUGCUUUAUUUUAUACCAGGUAAUAAUUAUAACUACUUUGUGUACUUACUAUGUAUCUCUGCUGUAAUUAAGUAGUCUGUACAGCUGUCUGUAUCCAUGAGGAAUUGGGUCCAGAAACCACCCACCCCCCGCAGGUUACCAAAAUCCAUGGUGCUCAAGUCCCUUAUGUAAAAGGGACUUGUAAGUAGGUUAUAUGCAUAGUAUUUGCAUAUAACCUACUUACCUCCUCCUGUUCUUUCUUUCUUUCUUUCUUUCUUUUUUGUUUUUUGUCUUUUUAGGGCAGCACCCGAAGCCUAUGGAGGUUCCCAGGCUAGGGAGUGUAAUUGGAGCUACAGCUGCCAGCCUACGCCACAGCCACAGUAACACCAGAUCUGAGCCGCGUCUGCAGCCUACACUACAGCUCAUGGCAACGCGGUAUCCUUAACCCACUGAGCAAGGCCAGGGAUCAAACCCUCAACCUCAUGGUUCCUAGUGCAGAAUCCACAGAUACAGACUGCCAACUGUAUAAUAAACUCAGAACAGUUGUUCCAGAUUCCGAUGCUAGUGUGUGACAAAGUUUUUACCAAUCUUGAAUGAAAUAAAACAAAGAUAUUGUAAUGAGAUUUUCAAAUAAAGUUAAAUUGAUGCAGUUUAAAUGACUGCUAUAUUCUGAAUGUUUUCUUUUUUGCCUUUCUAGAGGUUAAAAUAUACUUUUUUUUGUUUGUUUUUUGUCUUUUUAGGGACGCACCCACGGCAUAUGGAGGUUCUCAGGCUAGGGGUCAAAGAAGAGCUAUAGCUGCCAGCCUACACCACAGCCACAGCAACGUGGGAUCCGAGCCAAGUCUCCUACCUAUACUACUGCUCACUGCAGCGCUGGAUCAUCAACACACUGAGCAAGCCCACCGAGUGAACCUGCAUCCUCAUGGAUGCUAGUCAGAUUUGUUUCCACUGAUCCAUGACGGGAACUCCUAAAAUAUACUUUUUUAAUGAAAUGAUUUUUUGGAUUAUGGUAAGGUUGGUUUUUUGUUUUUAUUUGCCACAAUGCCCAUAUGUGGAAAAAUUAAAAUUGGAAAAUCAUUGUCAGUCACUCAUUUUUUUGUGUGUGUAAAAUUUUAUUGGUCUGUGGAAUCCCCAGAUUUUGGAACAG
rnacentral:lncRNA from 9 species